AGCGAACGCUGGCGGCAGGCCUAACACAUGCAAGUCGAACGAACCUUUCGGGGUUAGUGGCGGACGGGUGAGUAACACGUGGGAACGUGCCUUUAGGUUCGGAAUAACUCAGGGAAACUUGUGCUAAUACCGAAUGUGCCCUUCGGGGGAAAGAUUUAUCGCCUUUAGAGCGGCCCGCGUCCGAUUAGCUAGUUGGUUGAGGUAAUGGCGCACCAAGGCGACGAUCAGUAGCUGGUCUGAGAGGAUGAUCAGCCACAUUGGGACUGAGACACGGCCCAAACUCCUACGGGAGGCAGCAGUGGGGAAUCUUGCGCAAUGGGCGAAAGCCUGACGCAGCCAUGCCGCGUGAAUGAUGAAGGUCUUAGGAUUGUAAAAUUCUUUCACCGGGGACGAUAAUGACGGUACCCGGAGAAGAAGCCCCGGCUAACUUCGUG
rnacentral:rRNA from 1 species